CUGGCCGAGAUGGCAUCGCCAUGGCACCGGCAUGGUCCACAGCUCUGCUGGGCGUGGCUCUGGUAUGUGUAGCUCUGGUCUCUUGCUGGACAGAUGGCCUUCACAGAGGGCCCUCCCAGACAUCCAGUGGCCUUGGAUAUCAUGAUGUGAGGGAGCAAUCGGGAUGAGGAAGACAAGUUGUACGAGGCUACUGGCUACAGGGCUGAGUAAUGCAACGUCAGAUGGAUAAAGUGUGAACGAUGACACACAGCUACCUUGGGUACUGGGAGACAGCUUGAAGCAUGCAGAUUUGUUAAGCACCUAGUCUUUCCUGAACAGUACAGUGAUGACUCCUGUCAGCUUGAGAAAACUUGGACUAGUUCUAGAAGACUUGAGUAAGAGGAGGACUUGGCGUCAUAAGCUGGCUGCCUGGAUAGAGGAAGACACCCACCAUGACUGUCUUUCUCAUAUACCAUGAUGUGCACCUGCUAACACACAACAGAAAGCGGGGCUCUGGUUCCCAGACACAGACAUGAAGAACCAGCAAUAUGUAAUAAGCCAGGAACUGGAUGCACAACCUCAAAGCGUCAGGAUUCCCGCAGUGAAGUCCUGACUCUCAACAUUUCUGGAGUGAUCUGAUCUACUGUGGUUCGCAGGGUACGUUCACAGGUGACAUCUCAUUUGAUCCGUCCUACAUCAAGGCUGGAGGCCAAGUAGAGAAGCUGACCUCCAGUUUGGGAAAACAGACCGGAGAGCGAUGCAGUGCGUUCUAGUGCUGAUCCUGAUUGACUGCUGACUUUCUGCCCAGCGUCUAGCUGUACUCUCACUAGAGGGACCCUGGCCACUCUUAAGAGAGAAGACAUAUUCCUUUGGAACAUGGCCUAAAAGAACACAAGCGAGUGCCAGCUGUCGACGAGGUGACGAAGUGGGACCAGUGCUUCCUGGACUAAGUGGGGAAUCGUGAACUUGCUGUCUGUAUAUAGGACACUCCAUACAUCUUUCUGGAGCAUCAGGUUGCUUCCUAUUCUUAGCCUUACUGUUUUCAUUGUGAAGUAGGAUGUAAAAUGAUCAUGUAGGUCUUACCAGUUAGGGUUCUGUGUGGCUCCCGUUCAUGGGUCUUCUCCAUGUCCUUGUCCUUUUGUUUUCAGCGAGACUGAGCUUGCUAACAAAAGGCUCAAGUUCUUUCUCCUUCCCUCUUCUUCCUUGAGGGUUCUUCAGAAGGACACACAUCAAGGGUGGCUCAGAACUUGCCUGAACAGGCAAUGACAGAAGCCAGUUGAGACUAAGUGAUGGGGAUACAAAGAACUCAGGAUGCUGUGACUGGGCACAGUUAUGCCAAACUGGAGGUGGCAGGAUGUUGGCACUGUGACCUUAUUUGACUGAGUUCUGCUCAUUAAGCUCCUGCUUAUCAAAUUGUACCAGAAGAAGGGUGAGCACACCACAUCACCAACAACAAUAGUAAUUUGUUUAGCAUCAGUGAAUAUAUGAGCCUAGUACAAGUUUGCUCCUGGCACACAGACUGUUCCUACUCAAUGUUGUUCUUCUCAUGACCCCAGAAAUAGAAACGAUGACUGUGGUGCAGGUGAAGAAGUGGAGGCUCAGAAACAUCAGGCCGCACACCCAAACUCCCAGAGCUGGCAGGGCAGUCUCAUUUAUUUUUAACAGACUUCCCGUAAGCACCUCCACUCCUUUUCUGGCUAUAGGGGUGUUCUUUGGGGUGUCACAAUCGAGGACAUCUAGAUAGGCACCUGCAAUUCAACCCUUGUAGACCCCUGACUGUGAGCAAAGGAGGGCCCAAAGAGGGUCAGGGACUUGCUCAGGUGGCAGGUUGCCAGAGGAGGCUUGGAACACAGAGAGGGAAAGGGCUUUCUUUCGUGGAUGUUUUGCGGUUGGACAGAAAGGUGGUGAGCCCUGAGGAAGGCACAACUCAGCCCGGAAGCUCUGCGACAGAACUGGGAAAGGGGGGCUGUUACCUCCGCCUCCGCGCCCUGGGUCCCUGCUGCAGCUCUGGCUUGUGUCAGCGCGGUGGUCCUCAUCCAGCUCCCCAUCUCUGCCCCCCCACC